GCUUUGUUUUGAAUGGUUUAGGAUAAAGUGGUGAAGAUUAGGUCGAUAUCGAAGUUAUUGAGGAGUUCCUCGGGUGUAAUCGGUUCGGUUCGAUAGGGAAGGUAUUAAAUUUGAGCAAAAAAAUGAAUUCCUAAUCAUACCAUACUUCUUAAACAGGUCACUUGAUUCGGAUACAACAAAGAGUGCCGGAAUAUGGUUAGACCACACAAAAGGUGUUCCAUUUUCUUAAUUUUUUGGUCAAUGCAGGUUUGUAUUUUCGUCUUCUCGCUGAUUUUUUGUGAUAAACAAUAUAUAAUUUGUGAAACAUAUUUUGUCUGAUGUUUACUGAUUUUGAUGUGUUACUGUUGCCGCUAGAUGUUUGAUUUUUGUUUUUGGUCACGAUAUUCAAGACUUGAAACAUGAGGUUAGAAUGUUUGUUAAUUCUCUGUUUGGUUAAUUAGCCGAUUGUAUCAACAUAUCUUGCUUCAUGUGCUAAGUCUUACAUUUUUCACCACUUAUGCGCUCCGGGUUUUGUUUUGGGCUGAAAUUUACUACGAGAAUCUGUUGAUUUUAUCCGUUUAUCUGUCGUAAAACAAGAUUAUGGGACUAAUAGCGUCAAGUGUUGAUGAUGUCAUGCUGAUGUAAUUAGCUUGCUUCAUUCUUCGUAUUCUUGUGUAGUAUCAUUUUAAAAUAGUACAACACAUAUCCUCAUAUGUUUAAUGACUGCAUGCUAAAAACAGUUUUAUUGAUUUCUUCGGGUAGAUAUGCAGUGAUGCUUGGAUCCUUUUCUGCUAAUGAAAUCAAUUUAAAACCGGUGUGCUUUGGCUGUAGAUAUGCAAUGAUGCUUGGAUAAUAUUUAUUAUAAACCAUAAGUCAUAAAAGGACACCACUUUCCUUUUUGCACUACUUAUUAUAUUAGCCUGCAUUUUCCACAAUUCAACAUGUUAACAUUUCAAAAGGACAUGUUAGCAGUGAAUGAUUUGACAUGUGAAACUAGGAAGAAUGUUCUUUUUUUCAUCUUUUUGAAGUCCUCAAGUAGUUUUAUAUGAUCACAUCUGUAAGAAUUGUCCCCAUGGCUUAUGGUUAGAAUUGUAUGCCGAGAAUCAAACAAAUGGGUGACCGAAUUGAUUGUUCUACCAUGUAAAGUAAGGUUAAGUUAGGCAUUGUAACUUGAACAAAAUAGAAUUGGAAGAUGGUAAAAAGAUAAUUAUCUAACUUCAUAGGUCUUAUAUGCUCUUUUUUAGUUGUAAAAGAUUAAUAUAUUGAACAAGUAUAAACUUUUUACCUUUUAUAUGAACGACUAUGUGAAAUUACAUAAAGUUGUAAAUUUUUUUGGUCAUGUUCAAGGGCAUUUUUAUUUAUUUUUUUAUCUCUUUUUUAUGUUACUUACCACAUCUGAUUUCAUCACCAGUUAUUACAUCUAAAAGACUAUUUAUAAAUUGUUUGUUAUAGAUGUCUUUACGCAAGAAGACAAUAUAUUGAUCAGUGACGGAACUAGCCCCAAAAGUUAGGGGUGUCUUAAUUUUUUUUAGGAUCAGGGGUAUCCUUUAUAUAACAGAGACAGAGUUGAUGGGUAUUUUUACACUACGGAAAUGAAGUUAAGGGGUAUUUUUACACUACGGAGACGGGGUUGAGGGGUAGCCCGUGCUACCCCUAUUAACACUAUAUGUCCGCCACUGAUAUGGAUACCUUACAAGCAUUUCUGAAAAGUCACGUAGGGCCUAAAACUACUCAUGUAUGGGAUCUUGUAGCCAACUUGGGGUUCGUUCUUACGGGACUGGUGGGCAUGCAGAAACCUCCAAGAGUUGACUGAAGGAUGGUCAUCCUUCGAUGACAAUUUUGACCCGUUUACUUUACUGGGUCGAUUAGGCAUAUAUCUGGAAAAAAAACUUUCUUUUUGGUCUCAAGAAGACAACCAUAUCAAUCAAGUCCUGAUAACAAUGAGACUUUGAAGUUUAGGUGGCUAAGCUGCAUUAACACUCGUAAUCAAAACUAAAUCUGUUGAAAGCACUUCCGCCCUCAGAUGAAGCAGAUGACAAUGAUCCACUGAUCAUACUACUAGAGCUGAAAUCACCAACUAGGCUAAAGCAUCAG